UAGUUGAGCGUCUCUAAGCCAUGAUGGAGACGCGGCGCACAGCUCAGUAACACGUGGCUAACCUGCCCUUGGGACAGGGAUAACCCCGGGAAACUGGGGCUAAUACUUGAUAGGUGAGAACUUCUGGAAUGAAUUCUCGCUGAAAGGGCGUCUAGAUCAUGCUUUUAGGCGUCGCCCAAGGAGGGGGCCGCGGCCGAUCAGGUUGUUGGUGAGGUAACGGCUCACCAAGCCUUUAACCGGUACGGGCCGUGAGAGCGGUAGCCCGGAGAUGGGUACUGAGACAAGGGCCCAGGCCCUACGGGGCGCAGCAGUCGCGAAAACUCACCAAUUCACGAAAGUGUGAGUGGGCCAUCCCGAGUGCCGUCCGCUGAGGAUGGCUUUUCCUUAGUGUACAAAGCUGGGGGAAUAAGGAGAGGGCAAGUCUGGUGUCAGCCGCCGCGGUAAUACCAGCUCUCCGAGUGGUGGGGAUGUUUAUUGGGCCUAAAGCAUUCGUAGCCUGCUGGGCAAGUCCUCCGUUAAAUCCAACGAUUCAAUCGUUGGGCCGCGGGGGAUACUGUUCGGCUAGGGGGCGGAAGAGGUCGACGGUAUUCUCGGGGUAGGGGUGAAAUCCUAUAAUCCCGGGAGGACCACCAGUGGCGAAGGCUGUCGGCUAGAACGCGCCCGACGGUGAGGGAUGAAAGCUGGGGGAGCGAACCGGAUUAGAUACCCGGGUAGUCCCAGCUGUAAACGAUGCAGGCUAGGUGUUGGCGCGGCUACGUGCCGCUCCAG
rnacentral:rRNA from 1 species